rnacentral:lncRNA from 9 species
CAACCAGAUGGCCAUUGUGAACUGUUAGGGAGGCCCUGCGGCAGUGAGAGAGGGGUGAUCCUUGGGAUUCUGCAAAUUCAGAAUCCCUUUGAGAUUCAAAAAGGAAUACUUUUCUCAUCACUUCUCCAGAGAUUUUGCAGAUGGAUCUGCCAACUUUCAUGUCAAACAACAAGUGGAGUACCUAACAGCAAGUGGAAAACUAGGCUAUUAAAAUUUUCCUUGUGAGUUUUGUAGGUUUUGCUUUAUUAUACUUCUUAUCCUGGCUGAUCUGCAAACAGCGUGUUUUCCAUUUAUUUCAUUCGUUGCUACACUAGUUGGAGUGAUGUGUUGGUAUUAUGAUUAUACUUCUGAAAAAUUUACAAAAAAGCAUGGAAAAUUCCAAAGCUAAUAUAGUAUUUUUGGCUUCUAGAAUUAAUAAUUGUUAACAUUGUGCCACAGUUGUUUUGCAUACCUUCUUUCUGUCCUUUUCAAAGAAAUUGAGCUGUGAAUAAUAUUUAUCUUUGUAUGCUAUUCUUCUCUUUCUGGUAGUUAUCACUUUAAUAUGAUUUACACUUGGAGAAACUGUAAGAUUAAAUGUUUUCCCACAAGCCACAUAGGUACUCAGUGACAGCACAAGUAUAUAGUAUUCUACUUAUAGAACCAUUGAUCUCAAUAUUUGUUGAAUUAAGAUGAAAUCAUAUUAGUAAAUAUCAUAAUUUUGUCUUUCAAUUAAAUAAAACUACAUGACACUUUCAUUUUUAGUUUGGACCCAGAAGGUGGCAGGAGAUUUACCUAACAACCAAAACAAUCUAAAUUACCUACAGAAUCUAAUUUUAUAAACUCAUCUGAGAUCUGAGUAUACAAAGAAACACAAAAAGAGCUAAACUCCAAAAGCAAUGUAUGCUUAAUAAGGAGGGAGGCUUAAUGUAGCUGUUCUCAGCUCUGCUGUAAUGGCAAGAGGAAGAGGAAUCUGUUGUAUGGAAAAUGGAAAUACUAGAAUGAAGACAACAUGAUAAGAAAACAGUAAUUCACUAAAUGAACUUAGGAUUUGGAAACAGCGGAGAAAAAGAUAAAUGAACUUGAAGACAGGUCAAUAGAAUAUAUUCCUAUUGAGACAAAAAGAAAAAAUUGUAAAAUGAAAGAGAUGUGUAACAAUUCCCAAUUUAUUUAUAAACAGAGUCUCAGAAAGAGAGGAGAGAGUAAAUGGGGAAGAAAAGAUAUCUGAAGAGAUAAAGACCAAUAACUUUCCAAAAUUGAUGAACUUUAUCAACUAUAUCACCAGAGAGCUUAGUGACCUCUGAACAGGAUAAUGCAAAGAAAAUUAUACCAAAUUACAGGAAAAUCAAGUGGUCAAAAAGAGAAUAUCUUUUGAGGAU